CCUGGCGACCUUAGCGCGGUGGUCCCACCUGACCCCAUGCCGAACUCAGAAGUGAAACGCCGUAGCGCCGAUGGUAGUGUGGGGUCUCCCCAUGCGAGAGUAGGGAACUGCCAGGC
rnacentral:rRNA from 1 species